AUUGAACGCUGGCGGCAGGCCUAACACAUGCAAGUCGAGCGGAUGAAGGGAGCUUGCUCCUGGAUUCAGCGGCGGACGGGUGAGUAAUGCCUAGGAAUCUGCCUGGUAGUGGGGGAUAACGUCCGGAAACGGGCGCUAAUACCGCAUACGUCCUGAGGGAGAAAGUGGGGGAUCUUCGGACCUCACGCUAUCAGAUGAGCCUAGGUCGGAUUAGCUAGUUGGUGGGGUAAAGGCCUACCAAGGCGACGAUCCGUAACUGGUCUGAGAGGAUGAUCAGCCACACUGGAACUGAGACACGGUCCAGACUCCUAAGGGAGGCAGCAGUGGGGAAUAUUGGACAAUGGGCGAAAGCCUGAUCCAGCCAUGCCGCGUGUGUGAAGAAGGUCUUCGGAUUGUAAAGCACUUUAAGUUGGGAGGAAGGGCAGUAAGUUAAUACCUUGCUGUUUUGACGUUACCAACAGAAUAAGCACCGGCUAACUUCGUG
rnacentral:rRNA from 1 species